ensembl:lncRNA
UUUUAUUCGAUACAUUUCGACAGUGUUACCCCCUAUGUUUUUUUCCCAUGAUGACUGAUGAAAAACAACAGUGUUACCCCUUAUGUUUUAUUUGACAGGGAAUUUUUUUUAUAUAACUCCUCCCCCGUCACAGGUAGGGAUAAAAAAGAGGUUAUAACUCCUCCCCCGUCACAGGUAGAGAUAGAGGUUUUAACUCCUCCCCCGUCACAGGUAGAGAUAUAGUGAGAGAUUAUAACUCCUCCCCCGUCACAGGUAGAGAUAGAGGGAGAGAUUAUAACUCCUCCCCCGUCACAGGUAGGGAUACAGAGGUUAUAACUCCUCCCCCGUCACAGGUAGGGACUGAUAAAAAACCUCA